UACCAGCACCCCGAGUGGUCGGGACGUUUAUUGGGCCUAAAGCAUCCGUAGCCGGUUCUACAAGUCUUCCGUUAAAUCCAACUGCUUAACAGGUGGGCUGCGGAAGAUACUAUAGAGCUAGGAGGCGGGGAGAGGCAAGCGGUACUCGAUGGGUAGGGGUAAAAUCCGUUGAUCCAUUGAAGAACCACCAGUGGCGAAGGCGGCUUGCCAGAACGCGCUCGACGGUGAGGGAUGAAAGCUGGGGGAGCAACCGGG
rnacentral:rRNA from 1 species